GACAACACCUAGGAGGAUCCUGAGUACGGCGGAACACGAGAAAUUCCGUCGGAAUCCGCGGGGACCAUCCCGCAAGGCUAAAUACUCCCUAGUGACCGAUAGUGAACCAGUACCGUGAGGGAAAGGUGAAAAGCACCCCGGAAGGGGAGUGAAAUAGAUCCUGAAACCGUGUGCCUACAACAAGUCAAAGCUCGUUAAUGAGUGAUGGCGUGCCUUUUGUAGAAUGAACCGGCGAGUUACGAUUGCAUGCGAGGUUAAGUCGAAGAGACGGAGCCGCAGCGAAAGCGAGUCUGAAUAGGGCGAAUGAGUAUGUAGUCGUAGACCCGAAACCAUGUGAUCUACCCAUGUCCAGGUUGAAGGUGCGGUAAAACGCACUGGAGGACCGAACCCACGUACGUUGAAAAGUGCGGGGAUGAGGUGUGGGUAGCGGAGAAAUUCCAAACGAACUUGGAGAUAGCUGGUUCUCUCCGAAAUAGCUUUAGGGCUAGCCUCGGAAUUGAGAAUGAUGGAGGUAGAGCACUGUUUGGACUAGGGGCCCAUCUCGGGUUACCGAAUUCAGAUAAACUCCGAAUGCCAUUCAUUUAUAUCCGGGAGUCAGACUGCGAGUGAUAAGAUCCGUAGUCGAAAGGGAAACAGCCCAGACCACCAGCUAAGGUCCCAAAAUAUAUGUUAAGUGGAAAAGGAUGUGGGGUUGCACAGACAACUAGGAUGUUGGCUUAGAAGCAGCCACCAUUUAAAGAGUGCGUAAUAGCUCACUAGUCGAGUGACCCUGCGCCGAAAAUGUACCGGGGCUAAACAUAUUACCGAAGCUGUGGACUACACCAUUAGGUGUAGUGGUAGGAGAGCGUUCUAAGGGCGUUGAAGGUCGAUCGUGAGGACGGCUGGAGCGCUUAGAAGUGAGAAUGCCGGUAUGAGUAGCGAAAGACAGGUGAGAAUCCUGUCCACCGUAUGACUAAGGUUUCCUGGGGAAGGCUCGUCCGCCCAGGGUUAGUCGGGACCUAAGCCGAGGCCGAUAGGCGUAGGCGAUGGACAACAGGUUGAUAUUCCUGUACCAGUUGUUUUUGUUUGAGCAAUGGAGGGACGCAGUAGGCUAAGGAAUGCAUGCGAUUGGAAGUGCAUGUCCAAGCAAUGAGUCUUGAGUAGAGUUAAAUGCUUUACUCUCU
rnacentral:rRNA from 1 species